UGGGGAAUUUUGCGCAAUGGACGAAAGUCUGACGCAGCAACGCCGCGUGGGUGAUGAAGGUCUUCGGACUGUAAAACCCUGUCGUCAGGGACGAAGGUACUUGCGUUAAUAGCGUGAGUGCUUGACGGUACCUGGAGAGGAAGCCCCGGCUAACUCUGUGCCAGCAGCCGCGGUAAUACAGAGGGGGCAAGCGUUAUUCGGAAUUAUUGGGCGUAAAGGGCAGGUAGGUGGCCAUGCAAGUCCGAUGUGAAAUCCCACGGCUCAACCGUGGAACUGCAUUGGAUACUGCUUGGCUUGAGUAUCGGAGAGGUGAGGGGAAUUCCCGGUGUAAGGGUGAAAUUCGUAGAUAUCAGGAGGAACACCGGUGGCGAAGGCGACUUCCUGGCCCUAUACUGACGCUGAGACGCGAGAGCGUGGGGAGCAAACAGG
rnacentral:rRNA from 1 species